rnacentral:rRNA from 1 species
CAGUCAGAGGCGAUGAAGGACGUGCUAAUCUGCGAUAAGCGCCGGUAAGGUGAUAUGAACCGUUAUAACCGGCGAUUUCCGAAUGGGGAAACCCAGUGUGAUUCGUCACACUAUCAUUAACUGAAUCCAUAGGUUAAUGAGGCGAACCGGGGGAACUGAAACAUCUAAGUACCCCGAGGAAAAGAAAUCAACCGAGAUUCCCCCAGUAGCGGCGAGCGAACGGGGAGGAGCCCAGAGCCUGAAUCAGCAUGUGUGUUAGUGGAAGCGUCUGGAAAGGCGCGCGAUACAGGGUGACAGCCCCGUACACAAAAGCGCAUGUGCUGUGAGCUCGAUGAGUAGGGCGGGACACGUGGUAUCCUGUCUGAAUAUGGGGGGACCAUCCUCCAAGGCUAAAUACUCCUGACUGACCGAUAGUGAACCAGUACCGUGAGGGAAAGGCGAAAAGAACCCCGGCGAGGGGAGUGAAAAAGAACCUGAAACCGUGUACGUACAAGCAGUGGGAGCACAGGUUUACCUGUGUGACUGCGUACCUUUUGUAUAAUGGGUCAGCGACUUAUAUUCUGUAGCAAGGUUAACCGAAUAGGGGAGCCGGAGGGAAACCGAGUCUUAAU